rnacentral:rRNA from 1 species
GACGAACCGAGCGAACGUUGUUCGGAAUCACUGGGCUUAAAGGGCGCGUAGGCGGGCUGCCGCGUCCGGGGUGAAAUCCCACGGCUCAACCGUGGAACGGCCCCGGGUACGGGCGGCCUCGAGGGGGUAGGGGCGUGCGGAACUGUGGGUGGAGCGGUGAAAUGCGUUGAGAUCCACAGGAACUCCGGUGGCGAAGGCGGCACGCUGGACCCCUUCGACGCUGAGGCGCGAAAGCCAGGGGAG